GGGCGUAACAAUUGAGGGGCGGGGCCAGGCGGGGCCUGGUCAGCAGUGGCGCUCUGCGUGGGCUCAGAGGUGCAUUGGCUCCACAGACGAGAACCGCUCAAGCCUGUGGGCCGGAGAAAAGUGACAAACCUCCGCCCCGCCUGCCCAGCCAUGUGGCGCCCGCUGAUCCUGCUGCUGCUGCUGCUCCUCCCGGCCGCCCCCGGUCCCGCCGCCACUGCCGCUCCCAUCCCGGAAACCAAAACCCAGGAGAGCCUGCAGCAGAGCCACCUCCAAGGUCCUCAAGCUGGAGAAAACAGAGGCCAGCGGGCAGUUGCAAACCACCUCCCUCACUUCGGCUGUCCUCCUGUGGCAUGAGGUGGCUGCCACCAAGGUGCUUCCCUGAAGCCCAGGAGGCAGGACUGUGGCUCGUGAGAAGCAUCCAGGGUUACAGGGGGAACCUGGGGCUUCUCCCACCCCAGUGAACACCCCCAAGACCCACUUCUGAGGCCCCCAUCCCCAGGCUCAGCAUCAGGGGCUGGACGUGGGCAUCAGAGCACUGGCAGGGGACAGACAUUUACCCUCUCUUGCUUCUUUUUGGAUUAUUAAAAUUGUU
rnacentral:lncRNA from 1 species